rnacentral:rRNA from 1 species
CCUACGGGAGGCAGCAGUGAGGAAUAUUGGUCAAUGGGCGCGAGCCUGAACCAGCCAAGUCGCGUGAGGGAAGACGGUCCUAUGGAUUGUAAACCUCUUUUGUCGGGGAGCAAAAGACGCCACGUGUGGCGUUCCGAGAGUACCCGAAGAAAAAGCAUCGGCUAACUCCGUGCCAGCAGCCGCGGUAAUACGGAGGAUGCGAGCGUUAUCCGGAUUUAUUGGGUUUAAAGGGUGCGCAGGCGGAAGAUCAAGUCAGCGGUAAAAUUGAGAGGCUCAACCUCUUCGAGCCGUUGAAACUGGGUUGCUUGAGUGAGCGAGAAGUAUGCGGAAUGCGUGGUGUAGCGGUGAAAUGCAUAGAUAUCACGCAGAACUCCGAUUGCGAAGGCAGCAUACCGGCGCUCAACUGACGCUCAUGCACGAAAGUGUGGGUAUCGAACAGGAUUAGAUACCCUUGUAGUC